AAUAUUUUAAUAAAAUAAUAAUUAAUCACGUAAUAAUAUAAUAUCAAAAUACUUAAAAUUAAAUAUUCCUUCUGUUUUCUUCCAUCAAUAACCCCCGUGCAAUGGCUGCCAAAUCAACUGCUCAGCUUCUUGGAAUUUGUUCGGCAAAUAGUCAAGAUUAGGUUUUGCAAUCAUUAAAAAAACCCAACAAUUUUGACAAGUUCGAUUUUGUUGUCCUCUUUUAAUUCGUUUAUUCAAUAUCUUUGAAAAUCUUGCUGUAUUAGCAAAGAGCAAGAAACUUCAUGGGGCUUUUCUAGUAAUUGUUUGGAUUUGAAUGGUUCCCAAAUCACUUACCAAAAAGCUGUAUAAAUAUCAAACCAUUGGUACUGUUCGGGUAUGCACAUUUCCUUAAAACAAAUGAAGCAAACCAUGAGAAUAGUUGUUGCCUUUGUUUUCAUUGCUGUAGCGACCAUCAACAUUAGCUUCUGCAAAGGAAGCUCUUCUGUUGGUUGCCUUCAAAGCUAGAGACUAGCACUUUUAAGGUUCAAGCAAGAUCUCACUGAUCCUGUGAAUCGGCUUGUCUCUUGGACUUCUGAUCAUGAAGAUUGUUGUACAUGGUCUGGUGUUGUCUGUGACAACUUGACGGGCCAUGUGCUUAAGCUCAACCUUAGAACUCCCCUAGAGAAAGAGUAUUCCACUCCAGCUGAAGUUGAAGCUCGUGAUCGGUCAAAAUUGUCCGGUAAGAUAAAUCCGUCCUUGGUUGAUUUGAAGCAUUUGCGUUCAUUGGACUUAAGCGACAACAAUUUUGAAGGAGUAGAGAUAAAUCCGUCUUUGCUGCUUGUUCUGCCUACUUUAUAGCAUGAAUAGGGCUGAUGCAUCAACUGGUUGGAAGGAAUUUACUAGUCCUGAUAAAAAGAAAGCAUUACUACAACAAAGUUACCAAGCAAUCAAAAUGGUCAAUACCAGAUGAGUUGAAGGUG